CCAGAACUGAUGUGCCUGAGAUAGCAUCCCAGUGGCUCCACCAUGGACUUGGUGCCAAGCUUUGUUUUCCUCCUGAUCAUUCUCCAAGGUGUCCAGUGUGAGGUGAAGCUGGUGGAGUCUGGGGCAGGCUUGGUGCAGCCUGGGGGGUCUCUGAGACUAUCCUGUGUAGCCUCUGGAUUCACCUUCAGUAGUUACCAUAUGAACUGGGUCCGUCAGGCUCCAGGGAAGGGACUGGAGCGAAUUUGUGCUAUUACUGGUAAUGGUGGUAGCACACACUAUGCAGACUCUGUGAAAGGCCGAUUCACCAUGUCCAGGGACAAUGCCAAGAACACGUUGUAUCUGCAAAUGAACAGCCUGAGAGCUGAGGACACAGCCAUGUAUUACUGUGCAAGAGACACAGUGAGGGGAAGUCAGUGUAAGCCCAGACACAAACCUCCCUGAGGAGGCAGCAGGGCUGGGCUGCAGUGGGCGCUCAGGACACCAGGGGGCGUUCAUGACCAGCAAACCCAGGUCCCAGUUCAGAAGCUGUCCUUGGAAGGGUUUUGUAGGUUUCCUAUUGGGAUCAAUGCUUUCUUCCCUCCUAUUGUCCCUGUGAAAGUUCCUGCUUGCUUCCUUGUGUCUUUAAUUAGAUUCUCUGCAGGCAA